rnacentral:lncRNA from 1 species
CCCCUGCAGAAAUAGAUAAACAACAAAACUCAUGGAAUUCUGUCAGAUCAAACCCUAAUUCUAGGUGUUGCUUGCAUAUAGGUCCUUUUCCUUAUUUAUUUGAUGAUUAAAAUUGAUACUUAAAAACCGUUAACAAACACCCCCAUACUUAGGCUUUUACUCGUCCUUGAGAAAAGGAUGGUUCAGAAAAACAUCUGGGGUUAAAACAUUGUAAAGCAUUCUUUUCAUACUUGCAGGGUGUAGUAAAAAUGUCCACUGUGUACUAUAGUCAGGGAAAUAUAUGGUCAAAGUAGAGAUCCUUGCUUCUUCUCAACCCUGUCACUUGGAGUUUUUGUAUAUUUUUGAAAAAAAACUUAGCAUACCUUUAUCCUCAUAGGUGCUCUCAGAUCACUCAUUAUCUUUUAUAUAUCUCACUGAGGCUGUUUUAAUUUGUAGAAAUUCUUAAGCAUACUUACCCUAUAUUUAUUGCUUGGUCAAAACGGGAUCCGAGGAGAGGAAUGCCAUACUCUUAGAUCAAAGACUUUGAAAAUUAAAGACUUAUCAACUCUUACUGGCAUAUUGCUUAUUAGAGGGACCAUGGGCUAUCAUUUUCUUUUUAUCAUAUUUUUAUCAUCUCUUUUUUUUUCAGGUGGAUACCGGAGUACCCCUAAUUCUACUGCCGAACACUUGUCCAUUUUUUCUGCAAGGUUGUCGAGCACUUGCUCCUUUUUAUUUCCUCGAAAUUCAUAUUUUUGCAUAGCUCAUGCCUCUAAUGCAAUAAUACUUCGGAAGAGUAAAUCUUUCUGAAUAAAAAUGUCUUGAUCUUAGGAGCAUGAUAAAUCUCUCAACUAGGGUCUAACUCAUUUUGAACAAACUCAAUACAAAGCAGAUAGCUUUUAUUAUCAUAAUUAAUAUUUUUUGGGUUUAGUAGGCAUAUAAAAUGCUGAGGAUGGUAGCUAUAUUUUUAAAGUUUUUUUUUGAAAUAAAUUCUCCAAGCGACAAAGAUAUUAAGAAUAAGGUACUCAUACUCUACCAUCUCACAUUCCACAAUGGCUUGAGUAACGCAGGGUUUUAAAAAUGAUUUUUUCAAUAAUUACAGGUUUUCAGGAAAUAUCACAGAGUGAGAUUGAUCAUGAUUAGAAACAUUUUUUAUCUUUUUAAUUUAUCAUGUUAGAGACAAUAUUCUACACGAACCAAGAUGUAUGUGUGUAAAUCGAGCGUGCAGAGUAUGUACCUGAAUCGUGGAGUGGUGCGGUCGAAGUGCGUUUGGUAUGUCGGGGGAUCUCCCCUAUACUUGUUUUCUGCUUUCUUACAUAAAAAUAAAGUGGAGACAUACGAGGCAUAAUAAUAAUCUUUGUUUAUCUUGAGGCAUUUAUUACAACCGACUAAUGAAUAAUAAACUGAAUCUAAUAAUGAAUCAAAACCGAAUCUGAUCGAAUCUAAUCGAAUCUAACGAUGAAUAACUAAGAUACACUGCCUCAAGAUCUAAUCUAGAUAACUCAGAGGCGC